UAUAGAGUGAGUUCCAGGAUGGCCUAAAGC
rnacentral:piRNA from 1 species